UUACUGAUUUAUGGUUCUUGAUUAGUGAUAUUGCUGUUUUGUUCUUAGGGAGUUAUAACAUAUGAUGGAAAAUCAAGGCACCUGAGUAGCAGAACUUCUAGACAAGUUACUCAAGUCCCCAGCUGAGAACAGACCAUGUUUGGCUAAAGAGGAUGGUGAGCCAUGCAGGAGAGAAUGAGGACCAGCUCUGGCAUAUGCAUGGCUUGGUCUAUAUUGUGUAGUUCCUGGCAUGUAAACUACCUCUACUGACUUAGAUAAUAUUGGAGACUUGCUGGGAAGAUGGAGAGGUGAAGUAGCAAGACAGGAACUAAGAGCUUCUAGAUUUCAAGGUGUGACCUCUAUGCAGCAUGUCAUGCUGUCUGCUACCUAGAUCUAUGGAGUAGGUAUUUAAUAAAUGUUUAUCAAAUUAAAUUUCUCUUGGUAUA
rnacentral:lncRNA from 1 species